rnacentral:lncRNA from 1 species
AUCCUCCCUACGGUCGCGAGCUGGAUACGGUGGCCAGAAGCAGGGGAGGUCGUUCCCGCCGACGGGAUCCAGUUCGAGGGAAGCGGCGGCGCCGGGUCUAACCGCAACCUCCUCGCUAGGGCGGUGCUCAUCCACAUCGACGCACUACACGCCGGGGUCAGCACUACCCAUUCCUCGCCUCACUCCACCUCUUCAGGUACUCCUGCUACAGCAAGCUAGGACAAGAGGUCAGUGAGGUCUCUAUAGGAGAGGCGCUGCCGUGUUAGUCUUGUGUCUCCUCUAGUCAUCUCCAUUCUUACGUCCCUGAUUGAAUCUGGAUCUGGAGAUUUCACCGGCUGCCGACGAGUCACCAUAGUGUAACUACCAUCGGUCUCAUCUGUAAGUUUGGUCACUGCCUCCACCUUCAUGCACCCACGACCCAUGAGCUGGUGCUCCGCCCUGCAUCCCUCGUACCAGGCAGCCUCCAACCCCCUCAUGGCAUCCCUACCCAUUUUUGAUAGACUGAAACUUGUUUCUGUCGCCAAUAAUGCUUCAGAAUAUUUUGUGUGUGAUGAGCUUGACAUCUUAACGGGGAUGGUAAAUUGUGGUAAGGCAAUUCCAUAGAAAUUAAUCACUUGUGCCAAUUCUAAUGAGAGUAGAAGGAAACAACCAUGUUAUGUGAAAUUAAAAUGCUUAUGUUAAGGCCCUAUAAUAUUAGAGCGAUUAUCUUUCUGAAAAAAGUGAUAAGAGUAUUAGUAGCUCAAUUUGUCGAGGGCGCAGUUAAACAUUCGAUUAGUUGUAUUUUUUUUUUGGUUGUUGCUAAGAAAUUUCAAUAUCAUAUCUGAAGGUUAAAGUGAUUCUCAGUUCAUAGGAUGACCAUGUUCUCGUUGUAUUUGAGUUAUGUACAUUUGGGCCUUCAUACAAGUUAUUUACCUUACAGUGAUAUCUGCGUGUUUGCAUUGCAGGUCGUUGUCAAUCUGUAUAUUCUAACAGCUUUGGGAGGUUUGCUAUUAGGCGAUGUUGGGCCUACCUUUAUUCAGGGGUAUUCAGUUGAACACCCACUAUUUUUGGCAAAAUAAAUCAUAUACAUAUCAUGUAUAUAUAUGACAGACUCACGUAUUCAUUCCUUCCUGCUCAUGUGGUCACACCCUGUUGAGUGAUCAACAAUCGGUGAUUUUUCUUUCCUGAUCGUGCCUUAGGUUGUGAGUACCGAGAUGAAGAAGCGUAUUCUGAUUGAGUGGUUUCGUGUUUUGUACUGAACACUUGUUGAACAUAUGUAUUUUAGAUUUUUUUUUUUGCUUUGAAUACCAAUAGAUAAAAUUCUGCACGCGUCCUUAGUUCCUUACGCUGGUAAAUCCAGUAUUCCGCCACACUGGUUGAUACUACUUGUGUAUCCUUACUUCUGAAGUUCAGAUUUGUUGGUAUACCAUAUACUGCAUUCUCAUUUUGUUGUCAUUAUCGGCUUUGUGCAUCUUCUGCCUCUACAUGUUUGCACAAAGCUCCAACCUGUUUGAUCAGCUCCCUUGUUGGGUUCCCAUAGAAGAAGAGACUCUCAUCUCCUCUUGGCUGCAAUGGAAGAGUAGAAAAUUGUGGACAUCGUAGACAUGUCCACUUUAUCAUUGUGUGUGUAUCAAUUUGCUGACAGAGACAAUUGAAUCAAGUAAUUUAGUAUGAACUUCUUGAGUGCAGGGGUAAAUAAAGGUGCAGCAACAUCAAGGGCUGUCGCACGAGGACGCAAGUGGAGCGAUCGUGGAAACACCGGGAUGCUUAUCAUCACCUACGAGGACGAGCAUAGCCAUGGACAUCCACUCAACUUGUCAGCGCUCGCCGCUGAUUCAGAAGCCUGACUGAAGCUGCCUAUGCCAGAAGAAGAUAGGAGACCUCUGAAUUUUUAUGCCAUUGAGGGAACAUGUCAUUUAGCUGCUCUUUGGUUAUUCAGUUUGACAAAAAAUCAGAAUGCAAGAGAAAUUUGUAACACGAAGGCAAAUGUUUGCCCGCGAUCUUUUUCAAGAUGUAUAAUGGAUACUUGAUUGGGGUGUAAUGCAUUCACCUUCUGAAAUAUUUUAUCAAUAAAAUUGCUCCAUGUGAUUGUCAAAUUUCCUUGUAGAAAUAGCUUUGUAAGUUUGUUUUUCUAAUGUGUGUGUGUGU